GAUGAACGCUAGCUACAGGCUUAACACAUGCAAGUCGCGGGGCAGCAUGGGGGUUGCUUGCAACCCCUGAUGGCGACCGGCGCACGGGUGAGUAACGCGUAUCCACCCUGCCCUUCACCAGGCGGUAACCCGGCGAAAUCAUACCUAAUACGGUCUGCGGCCCAUUGAGGGCUCCCGUUGUGGACGAAGGGCUGGGGGUGGAAGGUGUGUGGAUGGUUCAGAUUGGCGUGACGGGGGGGUCACGGCCCCCCGAGGCUACGGUCGGUAGGGGUUCUGAGAGGAAGGUCCACCACACUGGAACUGAGACACGGUCCAGACUCCUACGGGAGGCAGCAGUGAGGAAUAUUGGUCGAUGGGCGUAAGCCUGAACCAGCCAAGUAGCGUGCAGGAUGACGGCCCUAUGGGUUGUAAACUGCUUUUAUGCGGGGAUAAAGUGGCCCACGUGUGGGCUUUUGCAGGUACCGCAUGAAUAAGGACCGGCUAAUUCCGUG
rnacentral:rRNA from 1 species